UCACCUGCCGAAGCAACUAGCCCUGAAAAUGGAUGGCGCUCUAGCGUCGUGCCUAUACCGGGCCGUCAACGGCAAAGCGGGCCAGUGCCCCGUCCGGCUUACGCCGCGGCGGGCUUGGCCGUUAAGCCUUGACGAGUAGGAGGCGCGCGGCGGUGUGCGCAGAAGGGUCCGGGCGCGAGCCUGCCUGGAGCCGCCGUCGGUGCAGAUCUUGGUGGUAGUAGCAAAUACUCUAGCGAGGGCCUGGAGGGCUGAUGUGGAGAAGGGUUUCUUGUGAACAGCCGUUGCACAAGAGUCAGUCGACCCUAAGCCCUAGGAGAAAUCCGAUGUUGAUGGGCAGCGAUCACGCGGCCGGUUGUUGCGAGCGGCGUACGUGCUAGGCGCGUACGCGCCGUACGGCCAACCGACUGCUCCCGUCGGGCGAAAGGGAAUCCGGUUCCUAUUCCGGAACCCGGCUGCGGAACCGUCACUUCGCGGGCACUCGCCUGCGAGCGCUCGUCGGGGUAACCCAAAAUGACCCGGAGACGCCGGCGGGAGGUCUGGAAAGAGUUGUCUUUUCUUUAUAAGCGUUCGAGUUCCCUGGAAUCCUAUAGCAGGGAGAUAGGGUUUGGAACGCGAAGAGCACCGCAGUUGCGGCGGUGUCCGGACCUUCCCCCCGGACCUUGAAAAUCCGGGUGAGGGCUACGCGGAAAUGUCGCGCCGGCUCGUACCCAUAUCCGCAGCAGGUCUCCAA
rnacentral:rRNA from 1 species